AAGAAUUAGAUGAACGAUGCCGACGGGUUUCUGAAGCUCCUUCGCUUCCUGUCGUGUUCAUCGAUGGCCAUUAUCUUGGGGCAAAACAUACAUGAAAUUCAAGGAACAGCUGAAAAUGUGGUCCUGGCCAGAUAGGAGCAAUUCACCUCCAUAACAUCUCAGAAACACUCCCUUUAUCUUCUUCACUGUCUCCUUCUUGCUUUUUCUGGACUCUGGGUUAUUAAUUCCUUGAUGCAUCUCUGCAUGAGCUGAAAAAGUGGGAAAAUAUAGUGAGGGUAUAGACUUUUACCUUAGCCUAUUGCGUCAACUUCUGAACCAUAAGUUCUAGAUUUCAGUGGCAUAUUUUCAACUGAGAAACAUUAUUAGGAUCCAAGUAAGUAUCAGUGAUUGUGAUGAAUGCUGUGUAUAUUCUGAAGAGUAGAACAGACAUGUUGUCUCUUGUUCAUCUCUUUCAUAAAGAAGCAAGUGCAGGAGGAAGUCAACCAGAGCUCUGUGAGCAUAAGCCUUUAUUUGGUAAUGCUGACCACGAGAAGGCGUGGAAGGAGCUCUCUUACUUGGGAAAGGAGGACAAAAUGUUUUACAGGGCUGUAGCAAGAGUAGGUCAGUAGAAGUUCACCAGGUCCAAGGAAUAACUGGCCAAGGAUUGUUCUUUAAAGAGACGCAUUGUUCUUGUAGAUUAACCACAAGUGUCGGUCAAUUUGGAUUGUAUCAAGAAGGAUGGAGAGAACUAGUUAGGAGCUGGAGUCCUGUGCAAGAGAGUAUGGGCAGAAUCAGCUGCAGGAGACAAGGACAAAGGAGGACCAAGGACAAAAUCCUCAUUCCUUCAAUGUCUCUUAUUCAAGAUAAUCUGAGGGGUUGAUAAACAAGAGGAAAUGAAAAGACAGAGAUUCCUAUGAACCACAGAGUGCUAGGUAAUUCUAAGAUCAUCAAAAUUCUUAUGUGGAUUGGUGAAAAUUGCCAAAAUGAAUGAAGGACCACAGCUACGCCUUGCUCUGGUCCAGCUCCUACUGCAGUGGGAACAGGAAGUUGUGCAAGUAAAAUAUCUUCUUGAGUAUGUGCUGCUAUUCAAUAUGUUCCAUAAAUUUUCUUGUGUGCGUCCUAUAUAUACAGUCUUUCUCUCAUAAUCUAGUGGAAGAUACAAACUAGCCAUCACCCUAAUGAGUGUAUAAUCACAAAGUGAGAGCUUUGUUCUGAGGAAAAGGAAUAGGGUCUUUGAGAACACCUAAUAAGAUACCUUUACCCAGUCUAGGGGAUUAGGGAGGAAGAGAUGAGUAGAAGUU